UGCAAGUCGAGGGGUAUUAGUUUUCGGACUAAGAGACCGGCGCACGGGUGCGUAACGCGUAUGCAAUCUACCUUUCACAGAGGGAUAGCCCAGAGAAAUUUGGAUUAAUACCUCAUAGCAUAGCAGCUUCGCAUGAAGCCACUAUUAAAGUCACAACGGUGAAAGAUGAGCAUGCGUCCCAUUAGCUAGUUGGUAAGGUAACGGCUUACCAAGGCUACGAUGGGUAGGGGUCCUGAGAGGGAGAUCCCCCACACUGGUACUGAGACACGGACCAGACUCCUACGGGAGGCAGCAGUGAGGAAUAUUGGACAAUGGGCGCAAGCCUGAUCCAGCCAUGCCGCGUGCAGGAUGACGGUCCUAUGGAUUGUAAACUGCUUUUGUACGAGAAGAAACACUCCGACGUGUCGGAGCUUGACGGUAUCGUAAGAAUAAGGAUCGGCUAACUCCGUGCCAGCAGCCGCGGUAAUACGGAGGAUCCAAGCGUUAUCCGGAAUCAUUGGGUUUAAAGGGUCCGUAGGCGGUUUGGUAAGUCAGUGGUGAAAGCCCAUCGCUCAACGGUGGAACGGCCAUUGAUACUGCCAGACUUGAAUUAUUAGGAAGUAACUAGAAUAUGUAGUGUAGCGGUGAAAUGCUUAGAGAUUACAUGGAAUACCAAUUGCGAAGGCAGGUUACUACUAAUGGAUUGACGCUGAUGGACGAAAGCGUGGGUAGCGAACAGGAUUAGAUACCCUGGUAGUCCACGCCGUAAACGAUGGAUACUAGCUGUUGGGAGCAAUCUCAGUGGCUAAGCGAAAGUGAUAAGUAUCCCACCUGGGGAGUACGUUCGCAAGAAUGAAACUCAAAGGAAUUGACGGGGGCCCGCACAAGCGGUGGAAGCAUGUGGUUUAAUUCGAUGAUACGCGAGGAACCUUACCAAGGCUUAAAUGUAGAUUGACCGGUUUGGAAACAGAACUUUUCGCAAGACAAUUUACAAGGUGCUGCAUGGUUGUCGUCAGCUCCUGC
rnacentral:rRNA from 1 species